rnacentral:rRNA from 1 species
GGGUCAGUCGGUGGGUCGUGCCACCGGUACGUACUGGUCUCACUGAUUCCUCCUUCCUGAAGAACCGUAAUGCCAUUAAUUUGGUGUUGCGGGGAAACAGGACUGUUACUUUGAAAAAAUUAGAGUGUUUAAAGCAAGCUAACGCUUGAAUACAUUAGCAUGGAAUAAUGAAAUAGGACGAUCGAUCCUAUUUUGUUGGUUUCUAGGAUUGACGUA